CAGUCGAACGGUAGCACAGAGAGCUUGCUCUCGGGUGACGAGUGGCGGACGGGUGAGUAAUGUCUGGGAAACUGCCCGAUGGAGGGGGAUAACUACUGGAAACGGUAGCUAAUACCGCAUAAUGUCGCAAGACCAAAGAGGGGGACCUUCGGGCCUCUUGCCAUCGGAUGUGCCCAGAUGGGAUUAGCUAGUAGGUGRGGUAACGGCUCACCUAGGCGACGAUCCCUAGCUGGUCUGAGAGGAUGACCAGCCACACUGGAACUGAGACACGGUCCAGACUCCUACGGGAGGCAGCAGUGGGGAAUAUUGCACAAUGGGCGCAAGCCUGAUGCAGCCAUGCCGCGUGUAUGAAGAAGGCCUUCGGGUUGUAAAGUACUUUCAGCGAGGAGGAAGGCRUURAGGUUAAUAACCUYAGYGAUUGACGUUACUCGCAGAAGAAGCACCGGCUAACUCCGUGCCAGCAGCCGCGGUAAUACGGAGGGUGCAAGCGUUAAUCGGAAUUACUGGGCGUAAAGCGCACGCAGGCGGUCUGUCAAGUCGGAUGUGAAAUCCCCGGGCUCAACCUGGGAACUGCAUCCGAAACUGGCAGGCUAGAGUCUUGUAGAGGGGGGUAGAAUUCCA
rnacentral:rRNA from 1 species